AUUGAACGCUGGCGGCAUGCCUUACACAUGCAAGUCGAACGGUAGCAGGUCUUCGGAUGCUGACGAGUGGCGAACGGGUGAGUAAUACAUCGGAACGUGCCUAGUAGUGGGGGAUAACUACUCGAAAGAGUGGCUAAUACCGCAUGUGAUCUACGGAUGAAAGCAGGGGAUCGCAAGACCUUGUGCUACCAGAGCGUGCGAUGGCAGAUUAGGUAGUAGGUGGGAUAAAAGCUUACCAAGGCGACGAUCUGUAGCUGGUCUGAGAGGACGAUCAGCCACACUGGGACUGAGACACGGCCCAGACUCCUACGGGAGGCAGCAGUGGGGAAUUUUGGACAAUGGGCGCAAGCCUGAUCCAGCAAUGCCGCGUGCAGGAUGAAGGCCUUCGGGUUGUAAACUGCUUUUGUACGGAACGAAAAGCCCUGGGUUAAUACCCUGGGGUCAUGACGGUACCGUAAGAAUAAGCACCGGCUAACUACGUGCCAGCAGCCGCGGUAAAAC
rnacentral:rRNA from 1 species